rnacentral:rRNA from 1 species
ACAAACGCUGGCGGCGCGCCUAAUACAUGCAAGUCGAGCGAGAAGACGUAGCAAUACGUUUGUAAAGCGGCGAACGGGUGAGGAAUACAUGGGUAACCUACCCUCGAGUGGGGAAUAACUAGCCGAAAGGUUAGCUAAUACCGCGUACGCUCCUCGGACUUCGGUUCAGGGAGGAAAGCGAUACCGUGGGUAUCGCGCUCUUGGAUGGGCUCAUGUCCUAUCAGCUUGUUGGUGAGGAACGGCUCACCAAGGCUUCGACGGGUAGCUGGUCUGAGAGGACGAUCAGCCACACUGGCACUGCGACACGGGCCAGACUCCUACGGGAGCAGCAGUAAGGAAUAUUGCGCAAUGGGCGAAAGCCUGACGCAGCGACGCCGCGUGGGGGAUGAAGGUCUUCGGAUUGUAAACCCCUUUCGGGAGGGAAGAUGGAACGAGCAAUCGUUCGGACGGUACCUCCAGAAGCAGCCACGGCUAACUUCGUGCCA